UCUGCAGGUGGUUUCUUAAGUCUACUGUUAAAUCUUGAGGCUCAACCUCAAAUCUGCAGUAAGAAACUAGGAGACUUGAGUAUAGUAGGGGUAGAGGGAAUUUCCAGUGGAGCGGUGAAAUGCGUAGAUAUUGGAAAGAACACCGAUGGCGAAGGCACUCUACUGGGCUAUUACUGACACUCAGAGACGAAAGCGUAGGGGAGCAAAUG
rnacentral:rRNA from 1 species